AGCUAGAGGGAAUCUUGCAAAAGCAGGCAAGAUGCUAAAAAGUGGGCUGGUAUAGAAAGCUCUUUAAUGGCAAAAAAAAAAAAAAUGUGUAUAAGGAGCAAGAAUAAUGUCCCUCAUCUCCAAAGAUGUCCAUGUCCUAUCCCCUAAUCACAAGAACCUAUGAAUAUGUUGCUUUACAUGGCAAAGGGACUUUGAGGAUGUCAUUAGAGGUCCUGAGAUUAAUGACUUCAACAUGAAUUUUGGGGAACAUGUUCAGCACAUAACAUAGAUGAAAGAAGAGUGUCAUGAGCCAAGGAAUGUAGGUGGCCCAAAGAAGCUGGAGAAGGCAAGGAAAUGGAUUUUUCCCUAGAGCCUCCAGAAGGGAAAGCAGCUCUGCUGAUGCCUUAGUUUUAACCCAGUGAAAACCAUGUCAAACUUCUAACCUACAGGACUAUUAGAAAAUCAAUUUAUGUUGUUUUAAGCCACUAAAUUUGAGAUUUUUUUGUCAUGUUAGUAACAGAAAGCUAAUGGAAUGUCAAAACUUAAGGACCAAAUAAAUACAUAUUGAGACCC
rnacentral:lncRNA from 1 species